CUGGCCUCAAAUCAGGUAGACAGCA
rnacentral:rRNA from 1 species